rnacentral:lncRNA from 1 species
GUGCGCUAGCGGUCCGCUCCUACACACUCACCACUCAACCAACUUUGGGAGACGGUGAGCCGACCUUUCUAAGUGACCCGUGAUCCGCAAUCCGGAGACUUACAGCACUCGGUAGGACUUUCCUCCGGUGUGUCUGCUCCUCCCCAGCCGAGGGCCCUUCCCUGCUUUCGCACCCACCCGAGGUGAAGCUCCGACCCAGCGUGUGCACGCACUUCCCUCUCCACACCACCCGGAAAACCACCGGGCUCGCCCCGGCCGCGGACGGCGGCCCAGCGCCCGGCCUGCUCACCCGCGUGGGACAUGGGCUCGGUGGCGUUCCCGUAGCGCUCCUGGUUGUAGACCACCACGGCCGAGGCGUUCCUCCGCGCCGCCGCCAGCACCUUGUCCUUGAAGGUGCAGCCGCCUCGCGCCACCAGCGCCACCCAGGGCGCGUUGCCGAGGGCGCCGGGCGCCACGAAGCGCGUGUCGGGCGCGCAGCCCUCCGCAUCCGCGGGAGCGCGCGGGACGCCCACCAGGCCCUGCCUCUCCUCCCUGAGCGAGCUGUCGCCGAAGCGGCCGC